UUAUUCCAUUUCUACCCUUCAAUUGCUAUGUAAAUUUAGCUUUUUGUGUGUAUUAUAGAGUAAAAUGACAUUUUUGUCCAUGCUGGGCAAUAGAAAUCUCUCCAUUUCUUCAGACCCCGCACUCAGCUUUCGCCAUCUCUCUUCCAUCUCUGCUUCGCGCUCUUCAAUCUUUUUGCUUUGUCAUCUCUUCCUCCGUGAUUUCUUCACCAGCAACUUUGCUCAAGAUCUUUCCAAUUGAAAAAACCCAGAUCAUCAUCAUCUAUUCCUCAUCACCACAGGUUGUUGAAAUUGAUACGUCCCAAGUCUGGUGAGAUUAGAGAUAGUAUCAAGGAACUGAAUAUGAUGUAACAACACAUCCAUUGCAGGUCACUGAAGCUGAUAUUGAACAUUGCCGAUUCAUCAGAACCUAUAUUCUUCUGCGUUUCCUCAAAAUCCAAGGUCUUGUGUUUUUGUGAUUUUGGGUUCGUAGGUUUUUCAGAUUUUGGGAGUUUGUUUGUAGGCUGCAAAAUCCUCUGUUCUCAAGAGGAUUCGAGCAUUAAUAUUGUCAGUAAUGGUGAGACUACUGGUUUUCCAGUCACCCCACAUAAUGAGCAGCUGAGUUGUGCAUCUCCAAGCAAGAAAAGGCUGGAUGCUAUUAGUGAUUCUGCCAAAGAAUCAAAACAAAGUGUUUUUAUUAUGGAUACUCACACAUUCGAGAUGUAUACCAGCUCAUUGAACAAGAGGACAUCUAGCAGUCCAAAGAAGCUCUCUCGGUGCAGCAUACACUUUCCUCAAUCAAAUUUUGACAAGGAGGAUCCAGUGAACAAUGGAAUUGGUGAUGAUCCAAAGAGUUAAACUGGUUUAAUUCUACUGAAAAUUGUGUGUUGAUGAUUGCUUCAGUCAAAUUCGAUAUUUUCGGUAGACUAGAGAUGGCUGCUAGAAAAUGUAUGACUGUUCUCUAAUCUAAAAUACACUUCUCAGAUUGCUGUGGUUACUGGUUUGAAUUUUCCUUAUUUACCUUGGUGCCUUUUAACUUUUGAGGUGAAAUUUGUUACGCGACUUCAUUACUUGCAAAAUUUUGUUGAGUCAACAUUCAAUGCCCUUCCUUCGAAUCAAGUUAAAGGUAGGAUCGUACUCGGAGAAGUUUGUGAGGGGCCAAUGGGACAAGGAUUGCAAAAAUACAAGGCUUGCCUCUCAAGAUUGUAUUAAUUUCCCUUUGACUGGAAAUUUGGGGUUUCUUUAGGGUUUUCGCUCGCCAGACAAUGAUAGGUGAAUCACGGCAAGCAACAACAAUUAUGCUGCAAACUGAAUCCAAGAUGACUAACCUGGAGUCUUCAUGGUGGUCGCACCUCUCCUCAUCUUUGCUCCUCCUCCGAAACCCCUCUUUCAGGACCUAGGAAACAAGUAGCAAUGCAGAGGCACUGUUGGAGAGAUUGUGGACCUCUGUUAAAUCACAGUCUAGUGAAGGGAUUAGCCCGUCUAACUUUGUGUUUUAGAUGAAUCCGUUUCGGAUAAGGGAAAAUUCAAACCCAUAAAAAGUUGGGUUUCCUGGUCACCAAUGAACAGCACCAUUUGCCUUGCUCCCAUCACAGCUUGGCUUUCAGUUCCUCAGGUAAAGUUUCCACCUUUUUUUCUUCAGGAAAAUAACAAAGAUUCCAAAUUUAUUGAACUAUUUAGUGAUUUUCUGUUGAGUUUCUUCUUAAAAUUUUUAAUUAAAAUUUUUUGAAUUGAAAUGGGGGGAAUGGUGGAUGUGAGAGUCUCUUUUACAACAAUUCAAAGGGAAGAGCUUGAGAGACAGUGGACUCUUCCCCUAUUCCUCCACAUUCCCUUUUACCAAUUUCCAAGAACACAUUAAAUUCCCUCAAAAUAUAAACCGAGGUCUGGAAAAGCUUUGAAUUCCUUGGUUUCCUCCAAUUAGUAUGCAGAACUCUCAAAAAAUAAAGAAGUGAGGGUUGAAUGUCUACCCUCAUAUAUACACAGAGAGAUAUGGAAAAAAUUAGAAUGGUGAAGUGAGGGUUCAAUGACUUAUUUGGUUCUAUUUAAAUAAAGUUCGCUGAUUAGGUUGAUUUGUGUUGUGUACA